UACAGAGGUCUCAAGCGUUUGUUCGGAUUCAUUGGGCGUAAAGAGCUCGUAGGUGGUUUGUAAGUCGGAUGUGAAAUCUCCAGGCUCAACCUGGAGGGGUCAUUCGAUACUGCCAUACUAGAGUUCGGUAGGGGAGUGUGGAAUUCCUGGUGGAGCGGUGAAAUGCGCAGAUAUCAGGAGGAACACCCGUAGCGAAGGCGGCACUCUGGGCCAUACUGACUGAGGAGCGAAAGCGUGGGGAUCAA
rnacentral:rRNA from 1 species